UGGGGAAUAUUGGACAAUGGGGGCAACCCUGAUCCAGCAAUUCUGUGUGCACGAAGAAGGUUUUCGGAUUGUAAAGUGCUUUCAGCAGGGAAGAAAAAAAUGACGGUACCUGCAGAAGAAGCGACGGCUAAAUACGUGCCAGCAGCCGCGGUAAUACGUAUGUCGCAAGCGUUAUCCGGAAUUAUUGGGCAUAAAGGGCAUCUAGGCGGCCAGAUAAGUCUGGGGUGAAAACUUGCGGCUCAACCGCAAGCCUGCCCUGGAAACUAUGUGGCUAGAGUACUGGAGAGGUGGACGGAACUGCACGAGUAGAGGUGAAAUUCGUAGAUAUGUGCAGGAAUGCCGAUGAUGAAGAUAGUUCACUGGACGGUAACUGACGCUGAAGUGCGAAAGCUAGGGGAGCAAACAGGAUUAGAUACCCUGGUAGUCCUAGCUGUAAACGAUGAUUACUGGGUGUGGGCAUGAAGAGUGUCCGUGCCGAAGCUAAUGCGAUAAGUAAUCCGUCUGGGGAGUACGGCCGCAAGGCU
rnacentral:rRNA from 1 species